AAACUAGAAAGUAGAAAAGUGGAAGAUAGAAAAAGCGAAGAUAGAAAAGGAGAAACUGGAAGAUAGAAAAUUAGAGGACGGAAGAUAGAAAAGGUGAACAUUAGAAAAUAGAAGAUAGAAAAACUGAAGCGGAAAAAGGCUAUACAAGGGAAACUAAUGCAAGAGGCUUCAUUCCCAGUUGGGAAAGCAAAACGAGGAAGGCAAAGCCAAAAAAAGAUAGAAGUAUUAAAGUAGAAGAGCGCACUAUUGCAGAACAGCCUAGAACAGCCCUACUGUAAGAGUAAAGGGUACUGCAGAUUUGAAGUUGGUAAUGAGGAAGAUACGCAGGUAGCAAGUCUAGAAGAUAGAAGACUGAAGUCUGAAGAUGUUCCAGGAAGAAAAGAGAGGCAAUGGCGAGGGAGAAGUUGGCUUUAAAGCUUAAAAAGUAGGGAUGGGCCAACAGCCCUGAAGCGGAGAUUUUUAGGAAGAAAUUUCAUCUCCAAAGUAGAUGUCUUGAAUUCGUUGCUUGUAAAAUUAAGGCAGUUGUUUUUUUUUGUCUGUGAAGAGCAUUAGAAGAAUUUUUAAAAGCGCCUUAAGCUAGGCCAGCGUUCUAGAAUACUUUAAAUCUUACAGGACUUCGAUGCGUGCAGUUUCUCGAGACGGAGGAUAACUUUAAAUGCCAGCUUUAACCUAGCCUUUGUCGGACUGAGCUUUGAUUGAGCUAAAAGGCUUUUUAAACCUAAAAAAAGAGGACUAGCAUUUAACGAGGAGCUGACGAAUUGAGGCCCCCCCCCCUUCCCUCUCCCAGACGGAUGUGGAUUCAGUGAAGCUAGGAAGACAGGACGGAGGAGACAGGAUUCGUGGAGCCAGUGCGCUGCUUGGUGAAGCUAGGAACCAGGAGGUGAAACGCGAAGCUAGAGGAGAGAGGACCCCCCCCCCCAGGAAGGAGCCCCCCCAGUGCGAGGUGGUGAAGCUAGCGAGGAGGCAGCGGCAGCAGCCCGGCCCAUCCCGACCCAUCCGAGGCGAUUGGAGGCAGUAGCUAGAGGCUUCUAGACCCAGGAGACCCAUUGGCAAAGGCAGAAAGGAAAAAUGUGUUUGUGGUAAAACGCGGCGAAAAAUGGUUUUACUGUGGCUAGUUUGUAACUUAACGAGGAAUGCUGUUGACUUGUAAUUUAACGGGGGCGGGGGGUGGUGGUCUGUGACUUGCAGUAUCCAGAGGGACUUGUGGUGGGGAGGGGGAAAAGAGGGGCGGGGGUCGCUUUUCGGUUGUUUUAGGUCUCCCUCUCUUGCAGGCCCGUUUUCUCGUUGGCAUCUUUAUCUGAAGCUUUGAGGGCAGUCGGCCAAGGCCCGGAGCUUAGGACGGCUGGCGUUUCCCCUUCACCUUAGAGUGGUAGAUAGCGUCAAUUGCUGUAAAAAGCGCUAAAACCCAAUUGGGGAAGUGGAGUGAGCCUGGUGGAGACACACCGAACACCUCUUGAGGCAAGGAAUUUGUAAGCGACCAAAUUUGUAAGCAGCCAAAUUGGAUCCAUUUUUGAACAGGAAUAUUUCAGUUGCGGAUAAACUGCUUUCUUCCCCCUCCCACCCCUCCCCUCGACUUCAUUUUACAGUAAGAAAUGUUUUUCUUUCACUAAUGGGGAGGGAAAGUUGGCCUUUUCUUUGGGCGGCGAGGUGGGGGGGGGCACAAUUUUUUUUUCUCCAGUUUUUUCCCCCCUCAGGUAUCUAGAAUCCAAAGCCAGCCGACCCAAGAGGUUGCAAUUAAAAAGCAAAGAAGCCAGUAUCAGAAUGUCAAACCAGAGGUGUACAAUGACUAGGAACUGAGUAGCAGUUAAGGUGUAUGGAGGAAAUGGCUUGGAGGUCUCCUAAGUGACGAAAAAGUUUUUAAAAGGACUAUUUGGGUGCGGGGUGGGGGCGUUAACGUGCUAAUAAGGGGGCGGGGUAGGGAGGCAAAAUGAGCUGUUUCUAAGACUUUUCGCAGAUAAUCUAGUCCGCUUUGGACUUGGUUUAGAAGUGUAAUACUGCAGUGCUGUUGGCGAGAAACCUCCAGAACUCGCAGCCGAUUUUACCUUGGAAGAGUUUUCCCACUUGGAGCUGGGAAGGCACAGCACAGUGCAGCUUGUUCAUUUCAUUCAGUCAUCCCCCUCUGGAGAGCUUCAGAAGAGCUUGACUAGGCCAAUUCCUGAAGUUAAGUUCUUAAAUCUGUCUUCUCUUAAAGUUGGGGAGGGGGUGAGGUUAUGCAGAUGGCAGUCCGUGGUAUGCAUUGGGGGAUGGGCUCGGGGGGAGGGUUAGGUAAUUUGUUUAUAUUUUCAGAACUCAAAAUUAAGAUGGAAAAAGCUACAGAACUCAGCUUCCAAGGUGGCAAGUAAUUCCAGGUUUUGUAGCAAUUAAACCUUGCCAGGUAAUAAAUGGAAUUUCGAGAGUCGUGGGGCAACCCUGUUACUGUAUAUCUUUAAAAAAAAAUACAGUACGCCGAUGUAAAAAAUAGUACGAGGAGAGGAUCGGAAAAGCAACACUGGUGUUCUUUCCAGUGAGUCAUCCAUAAUGAAACAUUAGGAGGGGUUGGGGAAAGGAAGGUGAAUUUAUAGAGAUAUAAGGUGAGGUAUGUAGCGGGGGAAAGAGCCUGGUUCCAUGAAGGCUCGGGGUGGAUGGCACGGACCUUUUUUUUAUUUGGGGGAAAUUUGUUGGAACUACCUUGUUUGGAUAUAGUAGUGUGUGUGGUUCUCUUUUGGAAUUUUUUUCAGGUGAUUUAAUGUAAAAGUUAAUGCUACUCUAGAAACUUCAGAGCAAAGGAAGUUGCUUUAUGACCCUGAGGUGAUCCCUUCUGUGAUGGUAGCUUUUUUAUAUUCCAAACUUUUUUCAGAUACCUUCUGAAUCAUAACCAGCCUGGCAAUAUGGCGUCCUAAAUGCAGAGGGAACAGCUCCUUGGUGAAUGAUAAGUAAAGGCAGAAAAGAUAAUUAUCUCAUUUCCUCAUGGGGGAAAAAAAAAAAAUAACCCGAGAUGGCACCCACUGGUCAACAUAAGGAAAAUACUUGGUCUUCAAAAAUCAAAAUCUAAACGAAACCUAUCAAUUCGAAGUUUUUAUGGCUUGACUCCUCAAAAAGCUUUCCCAAAAAGCGUAACAAAAUUUAUGAGAAUACCUAUUUACAAUGAAGAGAAAGUAUCCAUCUCCAAACGCUGCUUUUACAAAGGCAGAGAAAAAGCGCACACUGAAAGCCUUUACUACAUAAAUGUUACCGGAUUAGAAGAAGCUGAAGUAAUUCACAGAGGAGGAGUGGGAUGAAGUGUCACAGUUUUGGAUUGAAAGGAGGCUGUGCUGUGUUCCGUUGUUUCGUUUGCCUCAGACAGGUUUCUCUUCACUAAAUUGUGAGAGGAGUUUUACUUCAUUUCAUCUGGAGCUGAAAACAGCAGGCAUCUGUUAACAGAUAAGUUUUAAUUGCGUCAGCAAGUAUUGCAUGUUAGGGAUAAGCGUGCUUAUUUUUAUUUUGGAGAAAAAAAAACUUUAAAUUCAGGAUGGCCUUAGACAUUCGUAGCCUUUUUUACCCUCCUCCCAAGUCUAUGUGCCACACGGCUUGCAUCUCUCUGACUAUAUCGAGGCUUCUGAUUUAUAGUGGUGGUGUUGGAUUGUUUUUUGUUUUUUUCCCAUCCUGGUCCUUUAUUCAAGGCUCUCUUUAUUAUCCACCUCUUAUUUCACCAGUUGCCUAAAGGCAGAUAAGCAUAAAAUAUAUACUAGUCUUGGCAAGCUACCAAUCGCUAAGACUGGCAGUCAUUACAUACCGUCCUAGAAAAUGCCUCCAAAAGCAAAGCUGCACAGUGGCUGGCUGUUAAACAUGUCUAUAUUUUUAUUUUUAAUUUUUUGCUUGAGCUGUUUUUUUUUACACGUUUUUACUUUUUUGUUGCAUUGUGUAGCUAAAUAUUUGCAGAAAAUGUAUACUAUUUCUCAGGCACCCUUAAAUAAAGUUAGUGUGCUUUUAGCUGUCUCCUUAUUUAACAUGUAUUGUCAAUGUUGUUUGGUUAGUGUUGGGGCAAUCUGGGGGGGAUUCUUCUCUAAUCUUUCAGAAUCUUUCUCCACCGAACACUCCUCAUCAGAUCAGGAUUUGAGCAGAAGAUCGAAAAGUGUCUUUAUUCAGGCAGGAAAGACUGGCAGAAACUUUUUAACCCCCUCUUCAAUGAGCAGUUCUAGUUCCAGGCCACUUGGCAAUAGAGACCCUCUAAUUAAGGAAGGUAUCAGCCCCGAAUAAAAAUGCUUCUUAGAAGGAAACUUUAUGAACAGGAAACCAGGUAACUGAAUUCUGUCCUUAAAGACUACUUCUGUAUCCAGAAUAGUCGUGGUGAUAGGUAACUGUUCUCAGUCUUAUGAGUUGAUUAAAGUAACUAAUGUUACUCUGGUCAGUUUUACACACUGCAUGAUAAUUUUAAUGUUUGGAACCAACUCA